GGUGCAACUAGAUGAUCUCCACGAUCCCUUCCAACUUAAGCCAGUCUGUGAUUCUAUGAUUCUAUGAUUCUGAAUCUUGCAUCUGAAUCACAGAAUCAUAGAAUCACCAAGGUUGGCAAAGACCCACAGGAUCAUCCAGUCCAACCAUAUGAUACUUACUUUACCUGAUGUAACAGGGUUAGUAAAGAUGAGAUAUCCAUAUGAGGUCUAAGAGAUGGACACUCACUGUGCACUCCUACAGGGCAAACCUCACUACAGGGAUAAUCCCCAAUACAAAAUUCAAACACAGGUCCGUACAAUAAAGAUGUUAGACAAAAUAGUAUAUUGUCUGCAUUCGACUCUACUGAAAAUAUGUUUUCCUUCCUUUGUUUGUCUUCCAUGGACUAGCAAAAUAGACUCCCACAAACUCUUUCUUCACGGUGUAAAAACUAUGUCUGGUUGGAAGGGACACAGGAGAACUGCAAAGACAGCAACAGACUACUAGUUAAGCUUCAGAGAAAAUUUGACAAGAUUUAUUUGGCUAAUCCUACUUUUUUUUUAAAAACACUAUGGGAGUUGGUGUCAAGGGCACACUUUAUGCCAACUUUGCCCUCUGAGUCCAAGCUCAAGAAUAGUUCCCAGUGGGAUCCUGAAAUUGAAUUAUGUGAUCCAAAAGAUUCAAAAUGGAAAUCUGGCAAUUCAAAAUAAUCAACGCGUAUCACGCCCUGACUACGGCUGGAUCAAUUUGGUUUAGGUUCUGUUGAAUUUUUUUUCACUGUAUUCAGGAUUCUUCUAUCAUUUACUUAAAAAUAUAUAUCUCUGUGUGAGAGUUGCAAAGAUAUGCAUAAUCAAAGACAAUCCCCUGCUCUAGGGGUGGUUGUUAUGUGAAGCAUACUCAUUUUUUUUUCCCCCAUUUUUCACUGUGGAGGUCCAGGGACAUUAUCUGCUGUUUUGGAAAUAAUGCUUCAGUUUGUUCUUGGGUGCUAAUCAUAUAAGCUGUACUGUCUUAUUUUCACGGUUUUAUGAUUUUUGGUUACUGGUAUUCAACAUCAUAACAUCAUGUAGUGCAUUGGGAGUUAAAGUGUUAAUACUCCAGUUCCGAGCAGCUGUCCGGAAGAGAAGAAGAACUACAUUCCCCAGGGGGCUUUGCGGGCAGAGAGGAGAGACAACCUCUGGCAAAGUCACCUGAUGCUUUUCUUCCCUCGGCUCUCAUCCUGACCGUAUGCAUCGCCUCAGCACUACUGUAUCACCUCAUGUUUUGGAUUUGGAUUUUUUGUUAUCUGGGUCACAGAGAAAGGAUCAUCUGCACCCAGGGGAGAAGAGGAAUAAUGAAUCUCAUCCAGUAUCCAAUACUGUACAAAGGAGAAAAAAAGUGCACUCUGAAGAUUAGAAUGAAAUAUGCAAGAAUACCCUGGAAAUGAUGUGUUCGGUCUUUAUGUAUGAAUUAAAGCCUUCAUUUUCUAAUAGCUUAUUCUAAUUUCCCUGUG
ensembl:lncRNA